AUACGUAGGUGACAAGCGUUAUCCGGAUUUACUGGGCGUAAAGGGCGUGUAGGCGGUCUUGCAAGUCAGAAGUGAAAUUCCUGAGCUCAACUCGGGCGCUGCUUCUGAAACUGCAGGACUUGAGUGCUGGAGGGGAUAGCGGAAUUCCUAGUGGAGCGGUAAAAUGCGCAGAUAUUAGGAAGAACACCGGUGGCGAAGGCGGCUAUCUUGACAGUAACUGACACUGAGGCACGAAAGCGUGGGGAGCAAACAUGAUUAGAUACCCUGGUAGUCCGCGAAGUAAACGAUGCGCACCAGGUGUCGGGCGGCAGCGCCCGGUACCGGAGCAAACGCGAUUAGUGCGCCGCCUUGGGAGUAUGCCCGCAAGGGUGAAACUCAAAGGAAUUGACGGGG
rnacentral:rRNA from 1 species